rnacentral:misc_RNA from 1 species
GAAGUUAUAAUCCGGCGAGGGAAAGGCGGGAGAGUUGUAGCUGGCCCUAAGGCAUGUGCACGCUCUCUUCCGGACUUUCGCCGUAUGGGCGCGGGGCGACCCGCGUCUUCAUAUACCUCUUCGUGUAGAAAGUCUCUGAAUGUUAUUACCAUCAUCGAGUCGCGACUUCUAGGAGACGCGAUUCUUUGAGACAAAAGUUAUUACAACUUUCAGCAACGGAUCUCUUGGCUCU